AUGCUCAAAAUUCUCCAAGCCAGGCUUCAGCAAUACGUGAAUUGUGAACUGUCAGAUGUUCAAACUGGUUUUAGAAAGGGCAGAGGAACCAGAGAUCAAAUUGCCAACAUCCACUGGAUCAUUGAAAAAGCAAGAGAGUUCCGGAAAAACAUCUAUUUCUGCUUUAUUGACUAUGCCAAAGCCUUUGACUGUGUGGAUUGCAACAAACUGUGGAAAAUUCUGAAAGAGAUGAGAAUACCAGACCACCUGACCUGCCCCUUGAGAAACCUAUAUGCAGGUCAGAAAGCAACAGUUAGAACUGGACAUGGAACAACGAGCUGGUUCCAAAUAGGAAAAGGAGUACGUCAAGGCUGUAUAUUGUCACCCUGUUUAUUUAACUUAUAUGCAGAGUACAUCAUGAGAAACGCUGGGCUGCAAGAAGCACAAGCUGGAAUGAAGAUUGCCGGGAGAAAUAUCAAUAACCUCAGAUAUGCAGAUAACACCACCCUUAUGCCGGAAAGUGAAGAAGAAUUAAAGAGCCUCUUGAUGAAAGUGAAAGUGGAGAGUGAAAAAGUUGGCUUAAAGCUCAACAUUCAGAAAAUGAAGAUAAUGGUAUCUGGUCCCAUCACUUCAUGGGAAAUAGAUGGGGAAACAGUGGAAACAGUGUCAGACUUUAUUUUGGGGGGCUCCAAAAUCACUGCAGAUGGUGAUUGCAGCCAGGAAAUUAAAAGACGCUUACUCCUUGGAAGGAAAGUUAUGACCAACCUAGACAGCAUAUUAAAAAGCAGAGAUAUUACUUUGCCAACAAAGGUCCAUCUAGUCAAGGCUAUGGUUUUUCCAGUAGUCAUGUAUGGAUGUGAGAGUUGGACUGUGAAGAAAGCUGAACACCGAAGAAUUGAUGCUUUUGAACUGUGGUGUUGGAGAAGACUCUUGAGAGUCACUUGGACUGCAAGGAGGUCCAACCAGUCCAUCCUAAAGGAGAUCAGUCCUGGGUGUUCAUUGGAAAGCCUGAGGCUAAAGCUGAAACUCCAAUACUUUGGCCACCUCAUGCGAAGAGUUGACUCACUGGAAAAGACCCUGAUGCUGGGAGGGGUUGGGGGCAGGAGGAGAAGGGGACGACAGAGGAUGAGACGGCUGGAUGGCAUCACUGACUCGAUGGACGUGAGUUUGAGUAAACUCUGGGAGUUGGUGAUAGACAGGGAGGCCUGA
rnacentral:lncRNA from 1 species